rnacentral:rRNA from 1 species
GACGAACGCUGGCGGCGUGGAUUAGGCAUGCAAGUCGAACGGUAUCAUCCUUUCGGGGGUGAGAGAGUGGCGAACUGGUGAGUAACACGUAGGUUAUCUACCCUCAAGACGGGGACAACCCAGGGAAACUUGGGCUAAUACCGGAUGUGAGCAACUUUUAGUUGUUUGAAAGGUGGCGUAAGCUGUCGCUUGGGGAUGAGCCUGCGUCCUAUUAGUUAGUUGGUGAGGUAACGGCUCACCUAGGCAAUGAUAGGUAGGCGGCCUUAACGGGUGGUCGCCCACACUGGGAUUGAGAUACGGCCCAGACUCCUACGGGAGGCAGCAGUCGAGAAUAGUCUACAAUGGUCGGAAGACUGAUAGUGCGACGCCGCGUGAACGAUGAAUCCCUUCGGGUGUAAAGUUCUUUUAUAUGUGAGCAGUGCUUCUUAUAUUAACAGUAUGGGGAGAGAGAUAUUAGCAUAUGAAUAAGCAACGGCUAACUCCGUGCUAGCAGCCGCGGUAAACU